GCGCACGUAGCUCAGCUGGAUAGAGCAACAGCCUUCUAAGCUGUGGGUCAGGGGUUCGACUCCCUUCGUGCGCA
rnacentral:tRNA from 1 species